UGAAAUCCAGUGAAGGGGAAAAGUAGGCUUCGGCGGAAUGCCCAGCGAGCCGGUGGCGGUGGGAGACCGGUCAGGAGGCUGGAGUUGAAGUUCUCCCCGGAGGAGCAGGCUGAAGGCCGGUAAGCAACCGGCUGGGUAGGCCGUGCCGGAGCUCCCGCCGUUAUAUGGGAGGGGGUAUCGGAAGAGGUCAUCGACGCUUUUCCCGUACCUUGUAACGAGCGGGCUGUUUUCUAAAGACAGCCAAGCAGGGUGGUACCACGGGUAUAACUCCUCGUCCCUAGC
rnacentral:ncRNA from 1 species